GCAUUGAACUUCACUGUUUAAAGGUCAGUAUACUGUCCUUGGAUGCAUUCUACCUCUCUUUAAGCUGCUGUAAAGCUCUUUCAUAUUCUUAGGAGGUUAACAAUUUUACCUGAACUGGUUAAACCAUUAUUGUGAUAUUAUACAAGUUUGUAUUUUUAUUUUUUGCUUCUUCAAGCUGUAAUCUCAUUUCCUGUUUCUAUGUCGUUUGCCUUUUCUUGUUUGUUUCAAUUACUAAGUAUUUAGGGCUACUUUUGAAGAAUCAUCCUCUGCAAUUCAAUCAAUUUUCAAAUGCUAUAUAGAUUUAAAAACCCUCCUUUCUCUCUGUUUUGGUCCUCUUGUUUUCUCAACUAGUAUAUGACCCUUAUGAUUGAUAUUAAUAAAUGGGCUAAAUAUUAUUUGACAGAGAACUUGUCUACCAAUAACGCUAGUGUAGAUUUGUAAAAAAUUAGCUAUUAUAUUUUUUAGGAUAAAUUACUAUUUUGUCCUUGUGUUGUGCCAUAAUUGAGGUCCCUACAUUUCAGAAAAUAGAUGAAAACUUCCCUAGUUUUUAGUUCUUUCAUACACUUUCAUUCCUCCGUCCAUUUUUGUCAAUUUAAUAAUUAGUCAAGGGGCUAAAAGGUGAUCAAUGAGAGACAAAAGUAUUAAUAAUGGUAACAACUUAGGC
rnacentral:misc_RNA from 1 species